rnacentral:rRNA from 1 species
GAUGAACGCUGGCGGCGUGCCUAAUACAUGCAAGUCGAGCGAACGGACGAGACGCUUGCUUCUCUGAUGUUAGCGGCGGACGGGUGAGUAACACGUGGAUAACCUACCUAUCAGACUGGGAUAACUUCGGGAAACCGGCGCUAAUACCGUAUAAUCUUUUGAACCGCAUGGUUCAAAAGUGAAAGACGGUCUUGCUGUCACUUAUAGAUGGAUCCGCGCUGCAUUAGCUAGUUGGUAAGGUAACGGCUUACCAAGGCAACGAUGCAUAGCCGACCUGAGAGAGUGAUAGGCCACACUGGAACUGAGACACGGUCCAGACGACUACGGGAGGCAGCAGUAGGGAAUCUUACGAAAUGGGCGAAAGCCUGACGGAGCAACGCCGCGUGAGUGAUGAAGGUCUUCGGAUCGGAAAAAUCUGUUAUGAGGGAAGAACAGAUGUGUAAGUAACUGUGCACAUCGUGACGGUACCUAAUCAGAAAGCCACGGCUAACUACGUG